rnacentral:miRNA from 1 species
UCUUGCAAGAACUCGACUCCA